UUGGUCUUGGUCUUGGUCUUCAAGUUCACGAUAGCUAUAAAUAAAAGGUCGCCAUUCACAACAUUGUCACCAAACCAUAAUACUACUCUACAUGUAUUAUAAAUCUAGAUGUCGCCUCCAAUCCUAAGAAAAUUAGUAUCCUGACUAAUUUCAAACCAAGCAAAAUAGGCUGGUGGAUUAUGAGUUAGAAGCAAAUACCAAGUCCGCGGAAAGAGCUUCUCUCUUGAUUGGUGAUCAGGUUUCUCUUCUAACAGAGAGGGAAACUAUGGUGUUCUCUCAGCACCUCUUCCAAGCGCUAACAAGAAAAUAUGGUGCACAAGCUAUCUUCCUCCUUCACUCGCUUCCUCUGAGCUUCUUCCAGCAAUGAUUGCAAGCUUUCACCGGCAGGGCAGUUGGUCUUGACAUCUGUGAUCCCAAGCUCAUGGAGAAUGUUCACGAGCACAUAAUACGAAAGAGUCUCGUGCUGAAGUUAAAAAACAACCUCAAAUCUUAUAUAUAUGCUACGGAAGAGAAGGUAGAAACAAUCUGAAUUUGAAAAUAUUUGCACACAAGAAGAGCUCGAGGCGUUUAUUGUGAACCUUGAUGGGGC